GGAUGGAUCAUUACCAAAGGAUUUUUUAAUCUUGACGUAAAUGUGAACAGUAUAGAAAUAUAUGAGGGUCAGUGUUUUUUCCACCGAGAAAGCACUGACCUUUUAUUUACAAACGUAUUUGAAACUGAAAUCUACUUUAGCAUAAAAAACUAAAGACAACUUUUAGCAACGGAUCUCUUGGCUCUCGCAACGAUGAAGAACGCAGCGAAAUGCGAUAAGUAGUGUGAAUUGCAGAUACCGUGAAUCAUCAAGUCUUUGAACGCACCUUGCACUGUCUGGAACUCCGGGCAGUAUACCUGUUUGAGUAUCAGUAAACACUCCUUGAAAACUCUUUUUAGGGUUUUCCAGGGAAUUGAGCCGUCAUCCUCUACUGGGUGUGGCUUUAAAUGUAGUCACUAGCGCGAGGCAAAUGCUUGCACGUCACUAGCGGGACAGAGUUAAUGGGCUUCUGCCUGUCACUGUCUUGUUAGGUGUUUGGUAGGUGUGACGCGACUGGUGAGUGUUUUCCGGUGAUUGGUGUCUCAACAACACCAUAAACCCUAGCACGAAACCCCCCCCUACAGUUGGCACCCCAACUGUGCUCUUGAUCUCAAAUCAGGUAAGAUUACCCGCUGAACUUAAGCAUAUUAAUAAGCGGAGGAAAAGAAACUAACCAGGAUUCCCCUAGUAACGGCGAGUGAAGCGGGAACAGCUCAAAUUUAAAAUCUCCUAGGAGAAUUGUAGUUUGUAGAGGUGCUUUCGUUGUCGGCCCGGGUACAAGUCCCUUGGGACAGGGCAUCAUAGAGGGUGAGAAUCCCGUCUUUGAUCCGGUAGCCGGCACACUGUGAUGCACUCUCAAAGAGUCGGGUUGUUUGGGAAUGCAGCCCUAAGUGGGUGGUAUAUUUCAUCUAAAGCUAAAUACUGGCGAGAGACCGAUAGCGAACAAGUACCGUGAGGGAAAGAUGAAAAGAACUUUGAAAAGAGAGUUAAAUAGUACGUGAAAUUGCUAAAAGGGAAACGAUUGAAAUCAGUGUUGGUGGUAGUAAAUCAGCUAGUCAGCAAUGGCUGGUGCACUUUACUAUUCACCAGGUCAACAUCAGUUUUGGUCGGGGCAAAUUAGUGCGGGAAGGUGACUCCCUCGGGAGUGUUAUAGCCCGCAUGAGUACCCCGGCUGGGACUGAGGACUGCAGUGCAUGCCCUUCGGGGCAGGCGAAUCGGGCACUAUUUUGGUAUUGGUUGGUGGCAGCGUGCUGACUCCGAUCAAUGGGUAAAGUAAAUGUCCGGCUAGCACUAAUGCGCUAAGGAUGUUGACGAAAUGGUUUUAAACGACCCGUCUUGAAACACGGACCAAGGAGUCUAACACAUGUGCGAGUGUUUGGGUGGCAAGCCCAUACGCGUAAUGAAAGUAAAUGCAGGUGGGAACCUCGGUAAAACGGGGUGCACCAUCGACCGGUCUGGAUUUUUAAUGAUAGAUCUGAGUAAGAGCAUAUAUGUUGGGACCCGAAAGAUGGUGAACUAUGCCUGAAUAGGGCGAAGCCAGAGGAAACUCUGGUGGAGGCUCGUAGCGGUACUGACGUGCAAAUCGUUCGUCAAAUUUGGGUAUAGGGGCGAAAGACUAAUCGAACCAUCUAGUAGCUGGUUCCCUC
rnacentral:misc_RNA from 1 species